rnacentral:rRNA from 1 species
AACGAACGCUGGCGGCAUGCCUAACACAUGCAAGUCGAACGAGAUCUUCGGGUCUAGUGGCGCACGGGUGCGUAACGCGUGGGAAUCUGCCCUUUGGUUCGGAAUAACAGUUGGAAACGACUGCUAAUACCGGAUGAUGACGAAAGUCCAAAGAUUUAUCGCCAGAGGAUGAGCCCGCGUAGGAUUAGCUAGUUGGUGUGGUAAAGGCGCACCAAGGCGACGAUCCUUAGCUGGUCUGAGAGGAUGAUCAGCCACACUGGGACUGAGACACGGCCCAGACUCCUACGGGAGGCGGCAGUGGGGAAUAUUGGACAAAGGGCGAAAGCCUGAUCCAGCAAUGCCGCGUGCGUGAUGAAGGCCUUAGGGUUGUAAAGCUCUUUUACCCGGGAUGAUAAUGACAGUACCGGGAGAAUAAGCUCCGGCUAACUCCGUGCCAGCAGCCGCCGUAA